GGUACUUGGACUCCCGUUAUUCUCUGGGAGUGCUGCCAGGUUUCAGCGAGGACACUGGCUGUUCUUUGGGCUACAGAUGUUGUAACUGUCAGCCAAAGCACUGGGCCUCUUGAUGCCAGACUAUGAAAGACAUGACCAAAGGGACAGGAGACUCUCCUUUGGAGGCAGAGUUGACAGGCAUGCAGUGGCAAGGAGACUCCAAGACAAAGUGAGAGAAAAAUGGAGCCCUUUUUAUAUCUGAAACUAAAAUUUACAAAAUGAAGGGUCAUGCUUUUGAAGGAAAAAUUCCACUUAUAGGGGAGACGCAGUUAUCAGAUUUGCUUCAACCCCGCUUUAGAAUGACUGUUGGUGUAUGCAACCUAGCAAAGAUGUGUUAUCACAUAGCAAGGAGCUGGGUGCUACUGCUUGUGAGACUGAGGUCUUGAAGAUGUCAAAAUGGAGAAAUUGUUUCUUGCUUUCUUGAUGAUACAGGAAAAAAAACAGAGAUCUGUAACUGCCGGGCUGCAUUUCUGUAGUUUUCUACAACCCUCGUUCCCCACUUGUGUGCAUUUUGUCCCUUGCCUCACUGCUGUAGGCCAUCUUGCUGAGGACAUCAGAUGGGAGAACUGUGGAGGAGCUACCGUGUGCUGUUCAAUAUGGCAGCCGUGAGUAUAUACCAACACCGGCAGAAGUACAGAGGGCUUCUCAGCUUGACCCUGCUCAGUUCCUCUACAGGAAUCUCAGCCUGGGCACAGCCUGGUGAGUGAAUGAUGGUG
rnacentral:lncRNA from 1 species